UCGAUUCCCUUAGUAGCGGCGAGCGAAACGGGAAGAGCCCAAACCAACAAGCUUGCUUGUUGGGGUUGUAGGACACUCUAUACGGAGUUACAAAGGACGACAUUAGACGAAUCAUCUGGAAAGAUGAAUCAAAGAAGGUAAUAAUCCUGUAGUCGAAAAUGUUGUCUCUCUUGAGUGGAUCCUGAGUACGACGGAGCACGUGAAAUUCCGUCGGAAUCUGGGAGGACCAUCUCCUAAGGCUAAAUACUCUCUAGUGACCGAUAGUGAACCAGUACCGUGAGGGAAAGGUGAAAAGCACCCCGGAAGGGGAGUGAAAUAGAACCUGAAACCGUGUGCUUACAAGUAGUCAGAGCCCGUUAAUGGGUGAUGGCGUGCCUUUUGUAGAAUGAACCGGCGAGUUACGAUUUGAUGCAAGGUUAAGCAGUAAAUGUGGAGCCGUAGCGAAAGCGAGUCUGAAUAGGGCGUUUAGUAUUUGGUCGUAGACCCGAAACCAGGUGAUCUACCCUUGGUCAGGUUGAAGUUCAGGUAACACUGAAUGGAGGACCGAACCGACUUACGUUGAAAAGUGAGCGGAUGAACUGAGGGUAGCGGAGAAAUUCCAAUCGAACCUGGAGAUAGCUGGUUCUCUCCGAAAUAGCUUUAGGGCUAGCCUCAAGUGAUGAUUAUUGGAGGUAGAGCACUGUUUGGACGAGGGGCCCCUCUCGGGUUACCGAAUUCAGACAAACUCCGAAUGCCAAUUAAUUUAACUUGGGAGUCAGAACAUGGGUGAUAAGG
rnacentral:rRNA from 1 species